rnacentral:tmRNA from 1 species
GGGGGCGAACUGGCUUCGACAAUAGAUACAAACCCCUAAGUGCAUGUCGAGAAGGUUGUAAUUCUCGUUAAACAAUUACUUCAAACUUGUUAGUUGGCGAAAACGCAGACUACGCUCUAGCCGCUUAAUUGGCUAGCUACUCUGGUAACGUGCUCGUGCGCCUCCAAAAGUAGACGACUUCACGAGAUGCUGAAAUUGCUCUUCUCAUUAGUAAUUUCUUAAGAAUAAAUUGAGAUCGUCUUUUAAUCCCUGUUUAUCGGGUGCUAAAAGAUUAAAUUAAUAGAUAAAACUAAGCAUGUAGAUCUUAUGGCAGAGUUCUAGUGGACGCGGGUUCAAUUCCCGCCGCCUCCACCA